UUUCCGUAGGUGAACCUGCGGAAGGAUCAUUAAAGAGUAAGGGUCUUCGGGCCCGAUCUCCAACCCUUUGUUUAACUACCAUGUUGCUUUGGCGGGCCCGUCUCACGACCGCCGGAAGUUUGGCUUCGACCAAACUUCUGGCCCGUGCCCGUCAGUGGCCCCUUCAAAUUCUUGAUCAAGUAUGAUGUCUUAGUUAAAAACUUAAUAGUUAAAACUCUCAACAACGGAUCUCUUGGUUCUG
rnacentral:misc_RNA from 1 species